GACGAACGCUGGCGGCGUGCUUAACACAUGCAAGUCGAACGGGAAGGUCCUGCUUUUGUGGGGUGCUCGAGUGGCGAACGGGUGAGUAACACGUGAGUAACCUGCCCUUGACUUUGGGGUAACUUCAGGCAACUGGGGCUCAUACCGGAUAGGAGCUCCUGCUGCAUGGUGGGGGCUGGAAAGAUUCGGCGGUUGGGGAUGGACUCGCGGCGUAUCGGCUUGGUGGUGGGGUAGUGGCUUACCAAGGCCUUGAGCGGUAGCCGGCCUGGGAGGGUGACCGGCCACAUUGGGACUGAGAUGCGGCACAGACUCCAACGGGAGGCAGCAGAGGGGAAGAUAGCACAAUGGGCGGAAGCCUGAUGCAGCAACGCCGCGUGCGGGAUGACGGCCUUCGGGUUGUAAACCGCUUUCGCCUGUGACGAAGCGUGAGUGACGGUAAUGGGUAAAGAAGCACCGGCUAACUACGUG
rnacentral:rRNA from 1 species